rnacentral:rRNA from 1 species
UACGAAGGGGGCUAGCGUUGCUCGGAAUCACUGGGCGUAAAGCGCACGUAGGCGGCUUUUUAAGUCAGGGGUGAAAUCCUGGAGCUCAACUCCAGAACUGCCUUUGAUACUGAGAGGCUUGAGUCCGGGAGAGGCGAGUGGAACUGCGAGUGUAGAGGUGAAAUUCGUAGAUAUUCGCAAGAACACCAGUGGCGAAGGCGGCUCACUGGCCCGGUACUGACGCUGAGGUGCGAAAGCGUGGGGAGCAAACAGG